rnacentral:rRNA from 1 species
CCUACGGGAGGCAGCAGUCGAGAAUCAUUCACAAUGGGGGAAACCCUGAUGGUGCGACGCCGCGUGGGGGAAUGAAGGUCUUCGGAUUGUAAACCCCUGUCAUGUGGGAGCAAAUUAAAAAGAUAGUACCACAAGAGGAAGAGACGGCUAACUCUGUGCCAGCAGCCGCGGUAAUACAGAGGUCUCAAGCGUUGUUCGGAAUCACUGGGCGUAAAGCGUGCGUAGGCUGUUUCGUAAGUCGUGUGUGAAAGGCGCGGGCUCAACCCGCGGACGGCACAUGAUACUGCGAGACUAGAGUAGUGGAGGGGGAACCGGAAUGCUCGGUGUAGCAGUGAAAUGCGUAGAUAUCGAGAGGAACACUCGUGGCGAAGGCGGGUUCCUGGACAUUAACUGACGCUGAGGCACGAAGGCCAGGGGAGCGAAAGGGAUUAGAUACCCGAGUAGUC